UACAGAGGUCUCAAGCGUUGUUCGGAUUCAUUGGGCGUAAAGGGUGUGUAGGUGGCGCGCUAAGUCGGGUGUGAAAUUUCGGAGCUUAACUCCGAAACUGCAUUCGAUACUGGCGUGCUUGAGGACUGGAGAGGAGACUAGGGAAUUCAUGGUGUAGCAGUGAAAUGCGUAGAGAUCAUGAGGAAGACCAGUGGCGAAGGCGGGUCUCUGGACAGUUCCUGGACACUGAGACACGAAGGCCAGGGGAGCAAACGGG
rnacentral:rRNA from 1 species